rnacentral:rRNA from 1 species
UACGGGGGGGGCAAGCGUUGUUCGGAAUUACUGGGCGUAAAGGGUUUGUAGGUGGCUUGCUAAGUCAGACGUGAAAUCCCUCAGCUUAACUGGGGAACUGCGUCUGAGACUGGUGAGCUUGAGUGCAGGAGAGGAACGCGGAAUUCCAGGUGUAGCGGUGAAAUGCGUAGAUAUCUGGAGGAACACCGGUGGCGAAGGCGGCGUCUGGACUGCUACUGACACUGAGGAACGAAAGCCAGGGGAGCAAACGGG